GCCAGAGGGGGCAAGCGUUGUCCGGGGUUACUGGGCGUAAAGGGCGCGGGGGCGGUCUGCGGCGUCGGCGCUGAAAGCGCCCCGCUUAACGGGGCGAGGCGUGCCGAUACGAGCAGACUUGAGGCGAGCAGAGGGUGGUGGAAUUCCGGGUGGAGCGGUGAAAUGCGUAGAGAUUCGGAGGAACGCCAGUGGGGAGGCCGGCCACCUGGGCUCGUCCUGACGCUGCGGCGCGGCCGCGUGGGGAGCAAACCGG
rnacentral:rRNA from 1 species